rnacentral:rRNA from 1 species
UACGUAGGUGGCGAGCGUUAUCCGGAUUUAUUGGGCGUAAAGCGUCCGCAGCCGGUUUAUUAAGUCUAGAAUUAAAGCCUGGAGCUCAACUCCAGUUCGUUUUAGAGACUGAUAGACUCGAGUGUGGUAGAGGCAAACGGAAUUUCUAGUGUAGCGGUAGAAUGCGUAGAUAUUAGAAGGAACACCAGUGGCGAAGGCGGUUUGCUAGGCCACCACUGACGGUCAUGGACGAAAGCGUGGGGAGCAAAUAGG